GAAAUAUCAAGCAGUUAAAUAACUUUGCCAUUUAACUCAUUAGCCUCAAAGCCUACAGUGAAAAAUAAGAGAUCUGUCUUAAAUACUCUCUUGAGGCUAUGUUCACUUUCAGUCAUGAAUGAGAGGACAUAGUCAAAUAGCAUAGCCUGAGUUUUUGUUCAGUUAACCAGUGAUUUCUAUGUACAAUCUUUAGAAAAUGGGAAUGAAAGUGCUCUUCUGUAUUUAUAGUUUGUUCGUGACAGUACCUUCAAAGAGAUUCCACUGACGUUUUACAAAAUUAACAUAAUUGAAAGCAACGUACAGCCUAUCAUCAGAAAGGAAGGUAAAUGGGGCCUUCCAAUAUAUAUACCUGUAUAUGUUCAAAUAUGUAUACAUAUACAGAAUAUAUAUUGUAUUUAUUUAUUUAACUGAAUGUAUUUUGUACUUAACAACUCCAGCUUGUUUGGUACUUUGCUGGAAAAGCAAAGAUACAAAUAUUGUGAUUAGAACUGGCUGAAUUAUUUUAUAUGAAAAGAUUUCCUACAGUUGUUCUUCCCAGAUAGAUUUUUUUUUCCUCCAUGGGCAUUUUGAAAACACAUUGUUUAAUACAAUAUUUUUAAAAAAGCAUGCCUUUUAAAUGCCUUAGUAUUACUCUACUUUCUAUAAGUAUUACUGUACUUAAUAUAAAGUAUAAAGAAAAUUGGAUUGUACAGUUUUUGUAUUAGUUAUUUUAAAAGAUAUGUUACACAGUUACAACCAACCAACCAAACAUUAAAAGUAAUAGUUAAUUUCUUUACAGCUUUCAGUCAGUUCUAAAUACCAAUAUCUGUCAGAUGCCUGGAAAACAUGGUUAGCCAAACUGUUUUUCUCAAAUCAAAAGCAUGUUUUAAAGAAUAAAUUAGAGGUGUGACUGAAAAGAACAAAAAGUGAGGCUAGAACUAUUAAAAACACUUGUAAUUCAUAGCCUAAAUAAAACAUACCUUAGUUUCACUAAACCAGUGGCCAUGCUUAUUUGCUCCAGUUUCCUUUUGAAAUAAAAGCAUUCAAAAGGAAUCUGAUAGAGCUCAACUGAGAACAAAGGCAGUCAGAAUAUCUUGCAGAAUGUUCAUGCAAACUGAUUAGCCAUUGUUUCUGUGAAGACUCCCAUCCAACAGAAGUGAUGAGUUUCCUUUCUUGUUCUGUGUUUUGUCCCACCUACCAUUAGAUACUAUCUUAUAUAUAUAUAUAUAUAUAUAUAUAUAUAUAUAUAUAUGCUAAUCCUUGUUUCCUAGUCUGUGUUAUGAAAUCAGAGCUACAGAGCAAUAUAAAUAUGGAAUUGAUUCCAUGUAUUGUAAUUUGACCAAAGUAUUUUAGAGAUCUUCACAAGAUGAAGGGGAAUCACCUUCUGGAGGUACCUGUUCUUCUAUAUUAAAUCCUAAGCCAGAGUAGAUAGUUUGGGCAAUUUAGUAUAGUUUGAAAGAUGAGAAAAAAAAUAAGGAAAAAAAUGAAAUGUCCGAGCACUUCUCUGCAAAUGUACAACUAAGUACUAUUCACCAAAGAGGCAUAAAAUAUUUUUACAUUUUGGUGAGCACUGAACUGUCACUCCUUACCACUGCCAGCACAGUAUUUUUGCUUUGGGAUACUAUCCAAAGAAUCAUCUCUGGCCAACAGAAUCUGCUUACUGAUGACUCAGAUAUAGUCCCAGGAGAGUCAGUUUAGGCCCUUUUGAGCUUGCUUGCAAUGAUAGCAAUGAGUAGAAGCUCCCAUCACAACCACAUAUGCCCACAACUGUCUGUAUAAAAAGUUGCACAUUAGAUUUUGCAAUAUAAUGUCUGUAAGUUCCAGCAGAAAAUUAUGGAAGGGAGAUUUCAUUAAAAAAAAAAAAAAAAAAAAAAAAAAAGUUAUUUUACAGCUUGCUGUUUGCCUCUUCCAAUCUUAAUGAUUUCUGCUGGAGUUGUGAGUCAUUGUCUCUACAUAAGCAAGUUUGAAAGAGAUCUCAGGAGUUAAAUCUGGUUGAAACCCAGCUCCUAAUGAAUUGAUCCCAGACCAGACAAUACAGCAUCCUGUCAUACAGAGGCACGUUUUAUCAGUGUGGUCUCCAUGGAUUUCACAAGAUUAAGAGGUUACCAAAUUAUUUGCUUUGGCCAUUGAUAUCAAGAUGACAUCUCCCAUGAAUCUCAGAGGAUGGUAGCGGUAGCCAGUCAUAUACCCUUGCAGCCCGUCUAGUUGAUCUCUGAAUUUUACCUUCAUUUUUCUUGAUGCUGUAUGACUACUGCUAAAGUCUGGCUAGCUUUAAAAAACAUAAAACAAAAAGGGAAUCAGCCAUUCAUAAAUAAAUAAAUAAACAAUCUGAAUUGAUUAAAAGAUCCAGUUUCUUCUUGGGUUUCUGUACAGUUAGUAGGAAAUAACACAAUGAACAUUUUUCUCUCUAGUCAUUUCCAAGUUUUCAAUACUUUACAUGCUGAUUACUAGCAAAGCAAUAGCUAUAAGAUUCCAGCAAUGUGUCAGAGUAGGUGUUUU
rnacentral:lncRNA from 1 species